rnacentral:rRNA from 1 species
UAGUAACGGCGAGUGAAGCGGGAAAAGCCCACCUUGAAAAUCCCCUUUUAGGGGAAUUGUAGUCUGUAGAAGCAAAUCCAGCUGCCUGUCUCGGUUCGAGUCCCUUGGAAUAGGGCAUCCAUAGAGGGUGAGAGUCCCAUAAUUGGCUGAGAAUCAGGUAGCGCACGGAUUGUUUUCAAAGAGUCGAGUUGCUUGGGACUGCAGCUCAAAGUUGGUGGUAAAUUCCAUCAAAGGCUAAAUACUGGCGAGAGACCGAUAGCGAACAAGUAGUGUGAACGAAAGAUGAAAAGAACUUUGAAAAGAGAGUUAAAAAGUACCUGAAAUCGUUGAAAGGGAAGUGACGGCUACCAGUGUAUUUGUGUGAUGUUUAUCCUUUUCAUUUGAAUGGGUGUGCAUCAUGU